rnacentral:snRNA from 1 species
GGAUGUGAGGGUGAUCUGGCUGUGCCGUCUGUCACCCCAUUGAUCGCCAGGGUUGAUUUGGCAGAUCUGGCUGGCCAGGCGGGUGUCCCCUUCCUCCAUCACUGCUCCACGCGCGUCCCUCCCGAAGCUGCACGCUCAGUGGAAGAGGAGGACCUUCCCCGAUAGAAGAGGACCAUUCUUCUCGGUCAAGGGUGUACGAGUAGCUGCGCUCCCCUACUAGAGCCUCCAAUCAAGCUCUCAAAAAGCGGCUCCACUAGCCAAGAUCAGCUGACCCUGGCACAGGUCAUGCGACCCGCGGAUUCUUUGUAAGUAACACAUGGUUUUC